rnacentral:rRNA from 1 species
CCUACGGGAGGCAGCAGUGGGGAAUAUUGCACAAUGGGGGAAACCCUGAUGCAGCAACGCCGCGUGAGUGAUGACGGCCUUCGGGUUGUAAAGCUCUGUCUUCAGGGACGAUAAUGAUGGUACCUGAGGAGGAAGCAACGGCUAACUACGUGCCAGCAGCCGCGGUAAUACGUAGGUGGCGUGCGUUGUCCGGAUUUACUGGGCGUAAAGGGGGCGUAGGCGGACUUUUAAGUUAGAUGUGAAAUACUCGGGCUCAACUUGAGUGCUGCAUUUCAACCUGGAAGUCUAGAGUGCAGGAGAGGAGAAUGGAAUUCUUAGUGUAGCGGUGACAUGCGUAGAGAUUAUGAAGAACACCAGUGGCGAAGGCGAUUCUCUGGACUGUAACUGACGCUGAGGCUCGAAAGCGUGGGGAGCAAACAGGAUUAGAUACCCGAGUAGUC